rnacentral:rRNA from 1 species
UACAGAGGUCCCGAGCGUUUGUUCGGAUUUAUUGGGCGUAAAGGGUGCGUAGGUGGCAAAGUAAGUUGGAUGUGAAAUCCUGGGGCUCAACCUCAGAAUUGCAUUCAAUACUGCUUAGCUAGAGAGCUGUAGAGGAGACUGGAAUUUACGGUGUAGCAGUGAAAUGCGUAGAUAUCGUAAGGAACGCCAGUGGCGAAAGCGAGUCUCUGGGCAGCAUCUGACACUGAGGCACGAAGGCCAGGGGAGCAAACGGG